GACGACCGCAACAAGAUGGCGAGCCUGCCGGGCGGGACUCACGGGCUGUACCCUGAGGCGCUGAGCCCCGAGCAGCUGGAGCAGCUGCGCGGCUAUAAGAUUCAGAUUCGGAUUACUAAUGAAAAGUACCUAAGGACUCACAAAGAAGUGGAGUUGCUCGUAAGUGGUUUCUUCAGAGAAAUAUUUCUGCAAAGACCAGACAACAUUCAAGAAUUUGCGGCAGACUAUUUCACGGAUCCAAGACUUCCCAACAAGAUUCACAUGCAGCUAAUUAAGGAGAAGAAAGCGGCUUAAUUAGCAAAAUCAUGAUGCUCAGCUGUUGAGAGAGCCCAGAAAGAAUCCAGCCUCAGGCCAUGGCUCUGACAACGAGGUGUCCCUGUUUAGAAAAUCCAAACGAAGCCUUCAGCCAGACACACAUCUACGAAGGACCUCUGAUGUGAAGAGUUCUAUUAGAUACUCUGGGCACCUUUCGUCAGAGAAGAAAGAGACCUGCAGCCGCGUAAGCAGAGAGCAGAGUGUUUUUCAAAAUGCUGAACGCCGUGAGUGUACAACAGCUGGUGCUUGGCGAGUUUCUGGGUAAAAUUAAGAAAUACAUUUCUUUUAAAAUACAUCUCGAAGCCUUCCUAAGUGAAGAAUGCAUUUAACACGUGGUCACAGUGCACCCUCUUUGUGUGAGACGGUGGGCGCUGGGUCCGGGCGUGAGGCAGAGACAUUGUCCCCGCCCACAGGGGUUCAUGGUCUGGGAGAUGGGCUGCUUUUCUCUCCAAACCCUAUCUGAAUGGCUCACCUUUUAGACUGAAAGCUCCACCAGGGCAGGGGCCAGAUCUAAAAAUCGAGUUGUUUGCUAUUGAGUUCACAACUCAUAGCACAGCGUCUGAAUCUAGUGGCUGCUCAGCAUGCAUUUGUUGGAGACGGAAUUAGCAAUCACGUGACAUCGAUUGCUCUCUAGACUGUCGUACAGCUCUGAUGGAAGUAGGGCCACGAUACAGGAGGAGGUAGAAGAAAGAACACCCACUCUGCCUGCGUGUGAGGGAAGCCUCGUGGAAACUGGUGUGUGAUGUAGAGGAAGGGAUUUGCUAGGAAGGCUGGAGUAGUUGGGUAUCCCAGUGCUUCUGUUCUGCUGAGCAGGAUGGUGGUGGCCUGCUGAUUCUCAAUGACCCCUUUCUUCCUUGCUUCUGGAGCAGAGGGGGCAAGUGAAGAAGGAGAGGGGAGCAGCUGCCGGAUCAGUCCCAAAGCAGUGUCUGUCCCACCCACCCUUCCUGAUUCAUUCUCCAUGUCGCAGUUAGAAUGAUAUGUGUCUAUAUAUAUAUAUUUGGCCUCACUCACGGCAUAUGGAAGUUCCCAGGCCAGGGAUCGAACCUGUGCCACAGCAGUGACAGGGUUAGAUCCUUAACCUGCUAGGCCACCAGGGAGCUCCUAGAAUGGUCUUUUAAGAAAUCCAAAUCAGUAUGUCACUCUCCUGCCUAAAACUCUUUAGUGGUCUUCCAAUUACUCAAAAUCCAGAAGGCUUUGCAGGUUCCCAAGUCCCCUCCACCUCUCAGACAUCAUCUGCUCUUUCCUCUCUCCUUGCUGGACUCCAGCCACACCAGUUUUUUCUCUCCUCAAACAUGGCCAAGGUAGUUCGCACUUUAGGCCUUUGAACUGUGCCUGGAUUUCUCUCCCCCAGCGCCUCACCUUACCAGGUCCCAAUUGGGAUGCUCUGCGCUGGAAGAGAAAACUGCUGGGCAGAUAGGCCACGCCUUUCUCAGGUAGCAGGUCCACAGGUGGCAGCUGCUGAUGGCAGCUCAGGGGCUGCCUCUCUGCAAUUUCUUCCCUUUCAGGGUCGGAGGAGGAGGACCAGGAGCAGAUGUGGCAGUGAUGCUUGUCUUUCUUUUCAGGAAAGCAAAAGUUUCCCCAGGACACCCCUUUCACUCCCCAACUUUCACUACCAUUUUGUUGGCCAGAACUGUGCAUGUGGCCCCCUCUUUAAGAGAGGCUGGGAAAUUGAAGAUUUAGCCAGUGAAAAAUACCCUAGAUUGCCUCUUGUUACUUCCUCAGAGAUUCCUUUCCUGGGGAUCCAAGUGAAGUGGCCUCCCCUGGACAUUCAAAAAAAAUUGAUUAAAAAAUAUUCCUCCUGGGAGUUCCUGUUGUGGCAAAACAGAAACAAAUCCGACUAGGAACCAUGAAGUUGAGGGUUUGAUCCCUGGCCUCUCUGUGUGUUAAGGAUCUGCCGUUGCCAUGAGCUGUGGUGUAGGUCACAGACGUGGCUCGGAUCUGGCGUGGCUGUAGCUGGCAGCAACAGCUCUGAUUUGACCCCUAGCCUGGGAACCUCCAUAUGCCACGGGUACGGCCCUAAAAAAAAAAAAAAAAA
ensembl:lncRNA